GAUGAACGCUGGCGGCGUGCCUAAUACAUGCAAGUCGAGCGAACAGACGAGGAGCUUGCUCCUCUGACGUUAGCGGCGGACGGGUGAGUAACACGUGGAUAACCUACCUAUAAGACUGGGAUAACUUCGGGACACCGGAGCUAAUACCGGAUAAUAUAUUGAACCGCAUGGUUCAAUAGUGAAAGACGGUUUUGCUGUCACUUAUAGAUGGAUCCGCGCCGCAUUAGCUAGUUGGUAAGGUAACGGCUUACCAAGGCAACGAUGCGUAGCCGACCUGAGAGGGUGAUCGGCCACACUGGAACUGAGACACGGUCCAGACGCCUACGGGAGGCAGCAGUAGGGAAUCUUACGCAAUGGGCGAAAGCCUGACGGAGCAACGCCGCGUGAGUGAUGAAGGUCUUCGGAUCGUAAAACUCUGUUAUUAGGGAAGAACAAAUGUGUAAGUAACUAUGCACGUCUUGACGGUACCUAAUCAGAAAGCCACGGCUAACUACGUG
rnacentral:rRNA from 1 species